GGAUAGAUUACGGUUGUUGGUAAACCGUGUUGAGCUGUAAACUCAAUGGUUAAAUCCUUCAUAAGUUCGAUUCUUAUUCUAUUCA
rnacentral:tRNA from 1 species